rnacentral:rRNA from 1 species
AAUCAACGCUGGCGGCGUGCCUCAGACAUGCAAGUCGAACGCGAAAGGGCCCCUUCGGGGGCUGAGUAGAGUGGCGUCCGGGUGAGUAACACGUGGGUAAUCUACCUUCGGGUGGGGAAUAACAGUCGGAAACGACUGCUAAUACCGCAUAAUGCAGCGGCACCUAAUGGUGACAGUUGUUAAAGCGGGGGAUCGCAAGACCUCGCGCCUGAAGAGGAGCCCGCGGCGGAUUAGCUAGUUGGCAGGGUAACGGCCUACCAAGGCGACGAUCCGUAGCCGGCCUGAGAGGGCGGUCGGCCACACUGGCACUGACACACGGGCCAGACUCCUACGGGAGGCAGCAGUGGGGAAUAUUGGACAAUGGGCGCAAGCCUGAUCCAGCAAUGCCGCGUGAGUGAAGAAGGUCUUCGGAUUGUAAAGCUCUUUCGACGGGACGAUGAUGACGGUACCCGUAGAAGAAGCCCCGGCUAACUUCGUGCCAGCAGCCGCU